AGAUUAAAGCGUGUUUUCGGGUAACUGUGUUUUCAUGGAGGCGUCGGGCAUUGAUCAAUUUAGGGUGGAGGCUGAUACCACCUACUACGGAAGAUGGCUAAUGCGGAAUAUUAUAUGACUUGAAGUUUGUUCGUCACUAAUUAAACCACAAUAAUUGAAGAUAUCUAUAGCCAUAAUUAAACGAAAAAUAUGUAUUAUACGUUAUUAUUAUGUAACUGAGACACCCGAAAUAUACAAAAGUGUCAAUUCAUUUCAAUUACAACGAACAUUUGCUGCCAUAUACGUGUGUAAGACGGUGGCAACACAAUAUGCAAAUAACACAAU